GCUGCAAGGGGUUUGAUUGGUGAGAGCUCUCUGCUUCUCAACAGGCAAACUUAAAGCUUCUGUUUCUGUUCUGGUGUGGGCAGAAGAGGACGCUUCCUUGCACACGUUGCAUCUCACUCAUAGAGGUUUAACAUGAAGACUGUCCUGCUUGUCACUGCUCUUCUCUUGAUGCCUUUAACUUCUGCUGAAACGGGAACACCCACUGCGACAAGUAAACCGAACCACGAAAAUCCCAGACACAGCCUGGGCACACCCUGCUGUGUGCCACCUUCUCUUUUGCUGGUGUCUGCCUUGGCAGCAGUUUACUUCCUCCAAGCAAAAUGAGCCCCCUGCACUUCACUCCCCAGAGAGAUGUCAACGCUGCCUUCUGCCUGCCACCAUCUCAGCCUCUCUGCUGAGCCUGCCAAUCUCUGCUGAGCCUGCCAACCCUGCUGCAGCCUGCCAAUCCGCGUAACCCAGCCAGCAUUAUGGCUCCAGCUGAAGUCUUCCCGCAACACACCCACUGCGCCCUUUUCUUCGCAGCCAUCGGCUUCUUUCCUUGUUUCCCAUCAGAGCCAUUCAUUCCACCAACUGCAAUGGAAUCCCGGCAGCAGAGUCCAGCUUUGCAUGGAGCUUCCCAUUAGAAUCGCAUUGGAUAGGCAGAUGCAUGUCUCACCGCAACACCUGAGGAGCCUUGCCAUUGAUUGACCAGCUCCUGUGCAGAAUGGGCCUCUCCAAAGAGACAGAGAUUGCAACAAGAGUGUUUUGUUGCAUGCUUGUGUAUGUAUUGCACUAAUCUGAAGUUCCCGAGGACUAGCCACUGGAAGACAGAGAUCAACUCCUGGUGCUGAGACACCCCACCCAGCAGUGGGCAGCAAUCCCCAUUCCAUGAAGACAUGUUCUGAUGCUUUGAGAAAUUAAUGUGAAUAUAAAUGCUUUGGGGUCUUUCUGAUCCCUGCAGAGUGGCAGCCAGCUCAACCUAAUAAAAUGAAAGACAAGCUUUCUUA